rnacentral:lncRNA from 1 species
CAUGGAAGUUCCUGUUUUCCAUCUUUAAGUCAUUCCAUUUCUGCCAUCAUUAGGUUUUGUUCAGCAAAAUAUAUCUUACAGGGAAAGUAUUUUCUUUGCAUUUUAAUACUCUCACUUAGUGGCAGUACAGCCAGGAUACCUGGAUUUGAAUCCUAGCUCCACCAUUUAUUUGUGUGAUUUUAGGCAAGUUACUUCACCUCUCCAUACCUCAAUUUCUUCAUGUGCAAGGUAGAUAAUAAUAACAAUAUAAUAAGGCAUGAGCCACCAUACCCAGCCAAGAUUUUAUAUUAAGAAAAGGUUUUGGUGAGGUCUCAUUUUAAUUUUAGGUUUUCCAUCUUGGUAGAAAUAUCUUGCAGUGAGCCGAGAUCGCGCCACUGCACUCCAGCCUGGGCGACA